rnacentral:rRNA from 1 species
AUUGAACGCUGGCGGCAUGCCUUACACAUGCAAGUCGAACGGCAGCACGGGAGCAAUCCUGGUGGCGAGUGGCGAACGGGUGAGUAAAGUAUCGGAACGUGCCCAGUCGUGGGGGAUAACGUAGCGAAAGUUACGCUAAUACCGCAUACGAUCUAUGGAUGAAAGCGGGGGAUCGCAAGACCUCGCGCGAUUGGAGCGGCCGAUAUCAGAUUAGGUAGUUGGUGGGGUAAAGGCUCACCAAGCCGACGAUCUGUAGCUGGUCUGAGAGGACGACCAGCCACACUGGGACUGAGACACGGCCCAGACUCCUACGGGAGGCAGCAGUGGGGAAUUUUGGACAAUGGGCGAAAGCCUGAUCCAGCCAUGCCGCGUGCAGGAUGAAGGCCUUCGGGUUGUAAACUGCUUUUGUACGGAACGAAAAGGUUUGGCCUAAUAAGCUGAGCUCAUGACGGUACCGUAAGAAUAAGCACCGGCUAACUACGUGCCAGCCGCAGUAACAC